GACGAACGCUGGCGGCGUGCUUAACACAUGCAAGUCGAACGGAAAGGCCCUGCUUUUGUGGGGUGCUCGAGUGGCGAACGGGUGAGUAACACGCGAGUAACCUGCCCUUGACUUUGGGAUAACUUCAGGAAACUGGGGCUAAUACCGGAUAGGAGCUCCUGCUGCAUGGUGGGGGUUGGAAAGUUUCGGCGGUUGGGGAUGGACUCGCGGCUUAUCAGCUUGUUGGUGGGGUAGUGGCUUACCAAGGCUUUGACGGGUAGCCGGCCUGAGAGGGUGACCGGCCACAUUGGGACUGAGAUACGGCCCAGACUCCUACGGGAGGCAGCAGUGGGGAAUAUUGCACAAUGGGCGGAAGCCUGAUGCAGCAACGCCGCGUGCGGGAUGACGGCCUUCGGGUUGUAAACCGCUUUCGCCUGUGACGAAGCGUGAGUGACGGUAAUGGGUAAAGAAGCACCGGCUAACUACGUGCCAGCAGCCGCGGUGAUACGUAGGGUGCGAGCGUUGUCCGGAUUUAUUGGGCGUAAAGGGCUCGUAGGUGGUUGAUCGCGUCGGAAGUGUAAUCUUGGGGCUUAACCCUGAGCGUGCUUUCGAUACGGGUUGACUUGAGGAAGGUAGGGGAGAAUGGAAUUCCUGGUGGAGCGGUGGAAUGCGCAGAUAUCAGGAGGAGCACCAGUGGCGAAGGCGGUUCUCUGGGCCUUUCCUGACGCUGAGGAGCGAAAGCGUGGGGAGCGAACAGGCUUAGAUACCCUGGUAGUCCACGCUGUAAACGGUGGGUACUAGGUGUGGGGUCCAUUCCACGGGUUCCGUGCCGUAGCUAACGCUUUAAGUACCCCGCCUGGGGAGUACGGCCGCAAGGCUAAAACUCAAAGGAAUUGACGGGGCCCCGCACAAGCGGCGGAGCAUGCGGAUUAAUUCGAUGCAACGCGUAGAACCUUACCUGGGUUUGACAUGGAUCGGGAGUGCUCAGAGAUGGGUGUGCCUCUUUUGGGGUCGGUUCACAGGUGGUGCAUGGCUGUCGUCAGCUCGUGUCGUGAGAUGUUGGGUUAAGUCCCGCAACGAGCGCAACCCUUGUUCACUGUUGCCAGCACGUUAUGGUGGGGACUCAGUGGAGACCGCCGGGGUCAACUCGGAGGAAGGUGGGGAUGACGUCAAGUCAUCAUGCCCCUUAUGUCCAGGGCUUCACGCAUGCUACAAUGGCUGGUACAGAGAGUGGCGAGCCUGUGAGGGUGAGCGAAUCUCGGAAAGCCGGUCUCAGUUCGGAUUGGGGUCUGCAACUCGACCUCAUGAAGUCGGAGUCGCUAGUAAUCGCAGAUCAGCAACGCUGCGGUGAAUACGUUCCCGGGGCU
rnacentral:rRNA from 1 species